CCCUUAGAUGUUCUGGGCCGCACGCGCGCUACACUGAUGCAUUCAACGAGUUUCUUCCUGGUCCGAGAGGAAUGGGUAACCUUUUGAAAGUGCAUCGUGAUAGGGAUAGACUAUUGCAAUUAUUGGUCUUCAACGAGGAAUUCCUUGUAGACGUAGUUCAUCAGACUGCAUCGAUUACGUCCCUGCCCUUUGUACACACCGCCCGUCGCUCCUACCGAUUGAAUGCUCAGGUGAGCCAUUCGGACUUUCAUCAUGCUGGUUUCCAGUUUUGAUGAAGGAAAGUCUUGCGAACCUUAUCAUUUAGAGGAAGGAGAAGUCGUAACA
rnacentral:rRNA from 1 species